rnacentral:misc_RNA from 1 species
CAACCCUCAAGCCCUGCUUGGUGUUGGGGCCCUACGGCUGCCGUAGGCCCUGAAAGGAAGUGGCGGGCUCGCUACAACUCCGAGCGUAGUAAUUCAUUAUCUCGCUUAGGGCGUUGUGCGGUGCUCCAGCCGUUAAAGACACCUCUUUAACUCAA